rnacentral:rRNA from 1 species
UACGUAGGGUGCAAGCGUUGUCCGGAAUUAUUGGGCGUAAAGAGCUCGUAGGCGGCCUGUUACGUCUGCUGUGAAAUCCCGGGGCUUAACCCCGGGCGUGCAGUGGAUACGGGCAGGCUGGAGGCAGGCAGGGGAGAACGGAAUUCCCGGUGUAGCGGUGAAAUGCGCAGAUAUCGGGAGGAACACCGGUGGCGAAGGCGGUUCUCUGGGCCUUACCUGACGCUGAGGAGCGAAAGCGUGGGGAGCGAACAGG